GGUUAAGCGACUAAGCGUACACGGUGGAUGCCCUGGCAGUCAGAGGCGAUGAAGGGCGUGCUAAUCUGCGAUAAGCGCCGGUAAGGUGAUAUGAACCGUUAUAACCGGCGAUACCCGAAUGGGGAAACCCAGUGUGACUCGUCACACUAUCAUUAACUGAAUCCAUAGGUUAAUGAGGCGAACCGGGGGAACUGAAACAUCUAAGUACCCCGAGGAAAAGAAAUCAACCGAGAUUCCCCCAGUAGCGGCGAGCGAACGGGGAGGAGCCCAGAGCCUGAAUCAGCAUGUGUGUUAGUGGAAGCGUCUGGAAAGGCGCGCGAUACAGGGUGACAGCCCCGUACACAAAAGCGCAUGUGCUGUGAGCUCGAUGAGUAGGGCGGGACACGUGGUAUCCUGUCUGAAUAUGGGGGGACCAUCCUCCAAGGCUAAAUACUCCUGACUGACCGAUAGUGAACCAGUACCGUGAGGGAAAGGCGAAAAGAACCCCGGCGAGGGGAGUGAAAAAGAACCUGAAACCGUGUACGUACAAGCAGUGGGAGCACAGGUUUACCUGUGUGACUGCGUACCUUUUGUAUAAUGGGUCAGCGACUUAUAUUCUGUAGCAAGGUUAACCGCAUAGGGGAGCCGGAGGGAAACCGAGUCUUAAUUGGGCGUUAAGUUGCAGGGUAUAGACCCGAAACCCGGUGAUCUAGCCAUGGGCAGGUUGAAGGUUGGGUAACACUAACUGGAGGACCGAACCGACUAAUGUUGAAAAAUUAGCGGAUGACCUGUGGCUGGGGGUGAAAGGCCAAUCAAACCGGGAGAUAGCUGGUUCUCCCCGAAAGCUAUUUAGGUAGCGCCUCGUGAAUUCAUCUCCGGGGGUAGAGCACUGUUUCGGCUAGGGGGCCAUCCCGGCUUACCAACCCGAUGCAAACUGCGAAUACCGGAGAAUGUUAUCACGGGAGACACACGGCGGGUGCUAACGUCCGUCGUGAAGAGGGAAACAACCCAGACCGCCAGCUAAGGUCCCAAAGUCAUGGUUAAGUGGGAAACGAUGUGGGAAGGCCCAGACAGCCAGGAUGUUGGCUUAGAAGCAGCCAUCAUUUAAAGAAAGCGUAAUAGCUCACUGGUCGAGUCGGCCUGCGCGGAAGAUGUAACGGGGCUAAACCAUGCACCGAAGCUGCGGCAGCGACGCUUAUGCGUUGUUGGGUAGGGGAGCGUUCUGUAAGCCUGUGAAGGUGGCCUGUGAGGGUUGCUGGAGGUAUCAGAAGUGCGAAUGCUGACAUAAGUAACGAUAAAGCGGGUGAAAAGCCCGCUCGCCGGAAGACCAAGGGUUCCUGUCCAACGUUAAUCGGGGCAGGGUGAGUCGACCCCUAAGGCGAGGCCGAAAGGCGUAGUCGAUGGGAAACGGGUUAAUAUUCCCGUACUUGGUGUUACUGCGAAGGGGGGACGGAGAAGGCUAUGUUGGCCGGGCGACGGUUGUCCCGGUUUAAGCGUGUAGGUGUGUGUUCCAGGUAAAUCCGGUUCACUUUAACACUGAGGCGUGACGACGAGGCACUACGGUGCUGAAGCAACAAAUGCCCUGCUUCCAGGAAAAGCCUCUAAGCAUCAGGUAACAUCAAAUCGUACCCCAAACCGACACAGGUGGUCAGGUAGAGAAUACCAAGGCGCUUGAGAGAACUCGGGUGAAGGAACUAGGCAAAAUGGUGCCGUAACUUCGGGAGAAGGCACGCUGACACGUAGGUGAAGUGAUUUACUCAUGGAGCUGAAGUCAGUCGAAGAUACCAGCUGGCUGCAACUGUUUAUUAAAAACACAGCACUGUGCAAACACGAAAGUGGACGUAUACGGUGUGACGCCUGCCCGGUGCCGGAAGGUUAAUUGAUGGGGUCAGCGCAAGCGAAGCUCCUGAUCGAAGCCCCGGUAAACGGCGGCCGUAACUAUAACGGUCCUAAGGUAGCGAAAUUCCUUGUCGGGUAAGUUCCGACCUGCACGAAUGGCGUAAUGAUGGCCAGGCUGUCUCCACCCGAGACUCAGUGAAAUUGAACUCGCUGUGAAGAUGCAGUGUACCCGCGGCAAGACGGAAAGACCCCGUGAACCUUUACUAUAGCUUGACACUGAACAUUGAGCCUUGAUGUGUAGGAUAGGUGGGAGGCUUUGAAGUGUGGACGCCAGUCUGCAUGGAGCCGACCUUGAAAUACCACCCUUUAAUGUUUGAUGUUCUAACGUGGACCCGUAAUCCGGGUUGCGGACAGUGUCUGGUGGGUAGUUUGACUGGGGCGGUCUCCUCCUAAAGAGUAACGGAGGAGCACGAAGGUUGGCUAAUCCUGGUCGGACAUCAGGAGGUUAGUGCAAUGGCAUAAGCCAGCUUGACUGCGAGCGUGACGGCGCGAGCAGGUGCGAAAGCAGGUCAUAGUGAUCCGGUGGUUCUGAAUGGAAGGGCCAUCGCUCAACGGAUAAAAGGUACUCCGGGGAUAACAGGCUGAUACCGCCCAAGAGUUCAUAUCGACGGCGGUGUUUGGCACCUCGAUGUCGGCUCAUCACAUCCUGGGGCUGAAGUAGGUCCCAAGGGUAUGGCUGUUCGCCAUUUAAAGUGGUACGCGAGCUGGGUUUAGAACGUCGUGAGACAGUUCGGUCCCUAUCUGCCGUGGGCGCUGGAGAACUGAGGGGGGCUGCUCCUAGUACGAGAGGACCGGAGUGGACGCAUCACUGGUGUUCGGGUUGUCAUGCCAAUGGCACUGCCCGGUAGCUAAAUGCGGAAGAGAUAAGUGCUGAAAGCAUCUAAGCACGAAACUUGCCCCGAGAUGAGUUCUCCCUGAGACUUAGAGUCUCCUGAAGGAACGUUGAAGACGACGACGUUGAUAGGCCGGGUGUGUAAGCGCAGCGAUGCGUUGAGCUAACCGGUACUAAUGAACCGUGAGGCUUAACCUU
rnacentral:rRNA from 1 species